rnacentral:rRNA from 1 species
UGAGGAAUAUUGGACAAUGGGUGCGAGCCUGAUCCAGCCAUCCCGCGUGAAGGACGACGGCCCUAUGGGUUGUAAACUUCUUUUGUAUAGGGAUAAACCUACUCUCGUGAGAGUAGCUGAAGGUACUAUACGAAUAAGCACCGGCUAACUCCGUGCCAGCAGCCGCGGUAAUACGGAGGGUGCAAGCGUUAUCCGGAUUUAUUGGGUUUAAAGGGUCCGUAGGCGGAUCUGUAAGUCAGUGGUGAAAUCUCACAGCUUAACUGUGAAACUGCCAUUGAUACUGCAGGUCUUGAGUGUUGUUGAAGUAGCUGGAAUAAGUAGUGUAGCGGUGAAAUGCAUAGAUAUUACUUAGAACACCAAUUGCGAAGGCAGGUUACUAAGCAACAACUGACGCUGAUGGACGAAAGCGUGGGGAGCGAACA